UGGCACAGAUUUCUGCCCAUAUGCUUAAUUCGCUAGGGAGGAAUUACCAAAGUACAUGGAGUUAUGUUAACCUGUAAUUUCCUUGGUAAGGUAGUUCAGUCAUCAAGGGGCUACGUGAUUUUUUUGGUCAAAACCCAUCAUGUCUCAAGCUAGUACUCUACCAGGAUGCCUUUGAAGUCGUUAACCCUUUAGGCUCUGCAAGGACAAAACACAAGGGUGCUGACCCAAAUCUGUGUGGACCAGAACGUACCAAAGAGAACUACAACUCUGCUGUUGAUCGCCUCCAGAUUGACAAUACACCAGACGUCGAAGGAGUGAAGUUCAGACACUGAAUUUGAGCAGAAACCAUAAGGAUACUCAAAGGACCUGUGACUCUCAGGAAAUGCAUCAAAUGAGAGGGACAGAUGAAACAGUUUCAAGACAAUGGCAGGAAAAACAUGCUGAAGAUUGAAACAAACCUUGGCUGGAAAUAUUUGAAGGUAUCUAGCCAGUCCACAAUGAAAGCUUCGUUGCACCCCAUGAGUCUUCUGGCAGAAAUGAUGGCGCCUGUAUUCUUUGGUUUCCCUAAACAUCACACCCUGCCUGUUUAUACGAGGCUCUUCAAUUAAGUCUGCACCCAAAGAUUCAAUAAGAGGUAAGCAGUGGUAUUAUUCAAGUUUUGCUAAAGAAAGAUGGACAGGAGACACUAAUCUUAAUCAGCCGAGCUCAGGUUCAUGUCCAGGUGAGCAGUUUCAUACGCUAUAAAAUGUAGAUUGAAUGAUAGGUCUCAUCACCAUGCAUUCAGCCAUUAACUUCAAGUUCUAUGAUAAAUCAAUAGAAAACUUAAAUACGU